rnacentral:rRNA from 1 species
UGCAAGUCGAGCGGACCGACGGGAGCUUGCUCCCUUAGGUCAGCGGCGGACGGGUGAGUAACACGUGGGUAACCUGCCUGUAAGACUGGGAUAACUCCGGGAAACCGGGGCUAAUACCGGAUGCUUGAUUGAACCGCAUGGUUCAAUCAUAAAAGGUGGCUUUUAGCUACCACUUGCAGAUGGACCCGCGGCGCAUUAGCUAGUUGGUGAGGUAACGGCUCACCAAGGCGACGAUGCGUAGCCGACCUGAGAGGGUGAUCGGCCACACUGGGACUGAGACACGGCCCAGACUCCUACGGGAGGCAGCAGUAGGGAAUCUUCCGCAAUGGACGAAAGUCUGACGGAGCAACGCCGCGUGAGUGAUGAAGGUUUUCGGAUCGUAAAACUCUGUUGUUAGGGAAGAACAAGUACCGUUCGAAUAGGGCGGCACCUUGACGGUACCUAACCAGAAAGCCACGGCUAACUACGUGCCAGCAGCCGCGGUAAUACGUAGGUGGCAAGCGUUGUCCGGAAUUAUUGGGCGUAAAGCGCGCGCAGGCGGUUUCUUAAGUCUGAUGUGAAAGCCCCCGGCUCAACCGGGGAGGGUCAUUGGAAACUGGGGAACUUGAGUGCAGAAGAGGAGAGUGGAAUUCCACGUGUAGCGGUGAAAUGCGUAGAGAUGUGGAGGAACACCAGUGGCGAAGGCGACUCUCUGGUCUGUAACUGACGCUGAGGCGCGAAAGCGUGGGGAGCGAACAGGAUUAGAUACCCUGGUAGUCCACGCCGUAAACGAUGAGUGCUAAGUGUUAGAGGGUUUCCGCCCUUUAGUGCUGCAGCAAACGCAUUAAGCACUCCGCCUGGGGAGUACGGUCGCAAGACUGAAACUCAAAGGAAUUGACGGGGGCCCGCACAAGCGGUGGAGCAUGUGGUUUAAUUCGAAGCAACGCGAAGAACCUUACCAGGUCUUGACAUCUCCUGACAACCCUAGAGAUAGGGCUUCUCCUUCGGGGGCAAAAUGACAAGUGGGUGCAUGGUUGUC